CCGUCUGGUUUCUAUUAUGCAGGGGAGUCCUCUUCUGCAUAACAGAAACGGGACGGAUCCGUUUAGCAGCCCAUAGACUUCUAUUAUGACGGAAGGAAUAACGGAAGGCCUCUAAAGGCACUCCGUUAGGCAUUCCGUCAUAGAAUUGCGCUAUGGUCCGUGGUAACGGAAUCCAUAACGCAAUUCUGAUUUUACCACCAAACGAAGCUCAUCAGCAGAAAU